GACGAACGCUGGCGGCGUGCCUAAUACAUGCAAGUAGAACGCUGAAGAGAGGAGCUUGCUCUUCUUGGAUGAGUUGCGAACGGGUGAGUAACGCGUAGGUAACCUGCCUGGUAGCGGGGGAUAACUAUUGGAAACGAUAGCUAAUACCGCAUAAAAUUAAUUAUUGCAUGAUAAUUAAUUGAAAGAUGCAAUUGCAUCACUACCAGAUGGACCUGCGUUGUAUUAGCUAGUUGGUGAGGUAACGGCUCACCAAGGCGACGAUACAUAGCCGACCUGAGAGGGUGAUCGGCCACACUGGGACUGAGACACGGCCCAGACUCCUACGGGAGGCAGCAGUAGGGAAUCUUCGGCAAUGGGGGGAACCCUGACCGAGCAACGCCGCGUGAGUGAAGAAGGUUUUCGGAUCGUAAAGCUCUGUUGUAAGAGAAGAACGGGUGUGAGAGUGGAAAGUUCACACUGUGACGGUAUCUUACCAGAAAGGGACGGCUAACUACGUGCCAGCAGCCGCGGUAAUACGUAGGUCCCGAGCGUUGUCCGGAUUUAUUGGGCGUAUAUCGAGCGCAGGCGGUAGAUAAUUCUGAAGUUAUGGGCUGUGGCUUAACCAUAGUUUGCUUUGGAAACUGUUUAACUUGAGUUGCAAAGGGAGAGUGGAAUUCCCUGUUGUAGCGUUGAAAUGCGUAUAUAUAUGGAGGAACACCCGGUGGCGAAAGCGGCUCUCUGUGCUGUAUUUGACGCUGAUGUUCGUAGCGUGUGGAGCAUAUAGGAUUAUAUACCCCUGUUUGUCCUAGGGUGUGUUUCCCCUUUGUAUUUGAUGCUUUUCGACCUGUCGACUGCGUGUGUGUGAUUCAUAAAAAUAAUAAUUAUUUUCUCUUUUAUGAAGGCUUCUUACCCCCUGCUUGUGAUGCUGUCUUUCUGUCUCUGUGUUGUUUGUGUUGCUUGCCUGUUCUGUGGCUCGCCCAAUGCCAUGUAUAUGUAUCUAUUAUAUAUUUUAUUCUCUAUGAACUGUUCUUGUCUUAGCUUUUCCUUUAGCCUUAAUGUUAUGUGCUGAUAUACUGCUAUAAUUACUCCCUAGUACUACUUGACUCUUGUUGUGUUUUAUUACUCCUAGUAGCUUGAUACGCAUUUGAUGGCUAGUAUCUAAUAUAUGGCUUAGUC
rnacentral:rRNA from 1 species